UGCAACCAGGCAGUGUACUAAGCCUUCCUGCAUUUCCCAGCAGAUAAAUCCUCUGUCUCUUCUGAACAAGAAUGAGACAGCCAGCGGUAACAGAAAAAAAACGGAAAAGGAAUAGGGUCUUGAUGUGCUAGUCUAGUGUUCCAGUUCUGUUGGGCUAGAGUUUCCAGCAGAGGUCACAGCUGAGAACUCUCCGUCUCUCUUGCUGAUUGCUGGAAGCAAAUCACAAGUCCGCAAAGUCACCAUUGAAGGGGAGAUAGGAUAACUCCAUUCAGCUGACGGGCAGCAAAAAAUUCUCCAGACCAACUGCUGAGGCUUCUCUACUGCAGCCAUUCCUUUCCUGGAGAGUGUACGAGUGAUAAAGCAGAACACAGCUACCAGCAUUCAGCGGCCAGGCAUGAACAUGAAGAGCCAAUAUCUAGCUGUGGAGUUCUUGAUGCUGGUAAAAGCCUACCACUGGCUACUUAAAUGUCACUUAAAUUACCUGCAGGCCUUCCCAAAUAGGCAGGCUCCCAGCCUCUAGGAAUACUGCCUAA